ensembl:snRNA U2 U2 spliceosomal RNA
AUUUCAUUUCAAACAUUUACUUUAAUAAAAUUUUUAAAUCUGUUCUUAUCAGUUUAAUAUCUGAUAUGUCCUUUAUUUGAGGACUAUAUAUUAAAUUGAUUUUUGAAACGGGGCUGGAAUAGGAGCUUGCUCUGUCCACCCCAUGCAUUGAUCUGGUAUUGCAGCGCCUCCAGGACCAGUGCCUCUCCU